rnacentral:rRNA from 1 species
GACGAACGCUGGCGGCGUGCUUAACACAUGCAAGUCGAACGGAAAGGCCCUGCUUUUGUGGGGUGCUCGAGUGGCGAACGGGUGAGUAACACGUGAGUAACCUGCCCUUGACUUUGGGAUAACUUCAGGAAACUGGGGCUAAUACCGGAUAGGAGCUCCUGCUGCAUGGUGGGGGUUGGAAAGUUUCGGCGGUUGGGGAUGGACUCGCGGCUUAUCAGCUUGUUGGUGGGGUAGUGGCUUACCAAGGCUUUGACGGGUAGCCGGCCUGAGAGGGUGACCGGCGACAAUGGGACUGAGAUACGGCACAGACUGCUACGGGAGGCAGCAGUGGGGAAUAUUGCACAAUGGGCGGAAGCCUGAUGAAGAAAAGCCGCGUGCGGGAUGACGGCCUUCGGGUUGUAAACCGAUGUCGCAUGUGACGAAGCGUGAGUGACGGUAAUGGGUAAAGAAGCACCGGCUAACUACGUG